AUUGAACGCUGGCGGCAGGCCUAACACAUGCAAGUCGAGCGGAUGAAGGGAGCUUGCUCCUGGAUUCAGCGGCGGACGGGUGAGUAAUGCCUAGGAAUCUGCCUGGUAGUGGGGGAUAACGUCCGGAAACGGGCGCUAAUACCGCAUACGUCCUGAGGGAGAAAGUGGGGGGUCUUCGGACCUCACGCUAUCAGAUGAGCCUAGGUCGGAUUAGCUAGUUGGUGGGGUAAAGGCCUACCAAGGCGACGAUCCGUAACUGGUCUGAGAGGAUGAUCAGUCACACUGGAACUGAGACACGGUCCAGGCUCCUACGGGAGGCAGCAGUGGGGAAUAUUAGACAAUGGGCGAAAGCCUGAUCCAGCCAUGCCGCGUGUGUGAAGAAGGUCUUCGGAUUGUAAAGCACUUUAAGUUGGGAGGAAGGGCAGUAAGUUAAUACCUUGCUGUUUUGACGUUACCAACAGAAUAAGCACCGGCUAACUUCGUG
rnacentral:rRNA from 1 species